CCUGGCUAAUUUUGUAUUUUUAGUCAAGACGGGGUUUCUCCAUGUUGGUCAGGCUGGUCUUGAACUCCUGACCUCCGGUGAUCUGCCUGCCUCGGCCUCCCAAAGUGCUGGGAUUAUAGCCAUGAGCCACUGCACCCGGCCAUUAGUCAUUCUUUGAAAUUUAAAUUGUUUCCAGGAUGGGGUUCAAAUUGUGAAGCUGACAACUUUUCAUGUUUUACAAUUAGUCUAAGAGACCACUUCUUGGCUAAAUUAUUAUAUCAAAUAUGUGCCCAUUGACUAUCAUCUGUGAAUAAAGAAAGACAAUAUUUAGCAGCACCUGAUUAAUGUUUAUCAGUGAAUAUUUAGUUAGCACUUAAUAUACAUCAACUAUUAAGCAUUAAAGGAAAUUUUACAAUAAGAAGAUAAUUCAGGCCGGGGCACAGUGGCUCACACCUGUAAUCCCAACACUCUGGGAGGCUGAGGCAGGUGGAUUGCUUGAGUCCAGGAGUUCAAGACCAGCCUGGGCAAAAUAGCGAGACUCCAUAUCUUUUAAAGGAAAAAAAAAAAAAAAGAUGAGCUAGGCAUAGUGGUGCACACCUGUAGUCCCAGCUACUUGGGAAGUUGGGGUGGGAGGAU
rnacentral:lncRNA from 1 species